rnacentral:rRNA from 1 species
GAUCCUGGCUCAGGAUGAACGCUAGCUACAGGCUUAACACAUGCAAGUCGAGGGGCAGCAUGGUCUUAGCUUGCUAAGGCUGAUGGCGACCGGCGCACGGGUGAGUAACACGUAUCCAACCUGCCGUCUACUCUUGGCCAGCCUUCUGAAAGGAAGAUUAAUCCAGGAUGGGAUCAUGAGUUCACAUGUCUGACAGUGUAAGUUAAAGGUUUACGUUUUACCGGUAGACGAGGU